UUCCCUGUAGCACAGUUGGUAGAGCAUGGUGUUUGCAAUGCCAGGGUUGUGGGUUUGAUUCCCAUGAGGGACC
rfam:Salmo salar isolate Sally breed double haploid chromosome ssa05, whole genome shotgun sequence.